rnacentral:rRNA from 1 species
AUUGAACGCUGGCGGCAGGCUUAACACAUGCAAGUCGAGCGGAGAGAGGUAGCUUGCUACUGAUCUUAGCGGCGGACGGGUGAGUAAUGCUUAGGAAUCUGCCUGUUAGUGGGGGACAACAUUUCGAAAGGAAUGCUAAUACCGCAUACGUCCUACGGGAGAAAGCAGGGGAUCUUCGGACCUUGCGCUAAUAGAUGAGCCUAAGUCGGAUUAGCUAGUUGGUGGGGUAAAGGCCUACCAAGGCGACGAUCUGUAGCGGGUCUGAGAGGAUGAUCCGCCACACUGGGACUGAGACACGGCCCAGACUCCUACGGGAGGCAGCAGUGGGGAAUAUUGGACAAUGGGCGGAAGCCUGAUCCAGCCAUGCCGCGUGUGUGAAGGAGGCCUUAUGGUUGUAAAGCACUUUAAGCGAGGAGGAGGCUACUUUAGUUAAUACCUAGAGAUAGUGGACGUUACUCGCAGAAUAAGCACCGGCUAACCCUGUGCCAGCCGCCGCAGUAA